rnacentral:lncRNA from 1 species
GUCUGACCACGCAAACGGACUUUCUCGGCGUUCUCGUGCGCCAGCUUCUCCUCGAGCUCUUGGUGCGUUUUGAACGCGAGGUCCUGUUGUUCCCGGAGACUCGCGAGUUCAUCGCGGGAAGCUUUCUUGGAAGAUUCGAACUCCGCCGUCAUUUCUGUAAAAACGAGGAAGCGUAAAGUGGCGACACCGUUUCAGAGAGACCCCAAGCGGCCACGGAAGACAGCUGCGGUCAACGAAAACGCGAACGACACCGCACGUGGAGAAUGGCACGCCUUGUCCUUCGAAUCUCUCGACAGACGGACAGCACACACGGCCAUCGUCAAUGAGAGUCACAAGGCGCCAGCCAGAAAGUCGCGGCGCUACAGUUAUCAGCGUGGGAGAGAGAGGAGAGGAAAUGACCUUACGAGCAAGCUUGGCAGAGAAAUCUUCGGUGACUUGUUUGAGGCGCUCUUCCCACGCUGCAUUAUCGCGUUCUCUCUCGCUUAGGACUUUGUGGUACCUUGCGACUUCGAUGGUCAUUUUGUUUUGGAAAUUCGUCUCCAUCUGCUGAACGGUCGCUGCGUGCUUGUCUUCGCGGACCCGCUCUUGGUCCAUGAACUCCUGUUCUUGCUCUUGCUUUUCUUCGCGCAGAAUGUCGUACUUAUUCCUGAGAGAAAGUUCAAAGUGCACGCACGCGUCUUGGAGAACGAAUCGGGGAUUCCCUCCGUGGAGAGGAUUUCCACUUCGCAAGCACCAGCAAACAGACCGUUUUGUGUUGUGUUUUCAACACAGGGCUGAAGCCCCGCGGAUAGCUUUUUCAAGGCUCUAAGGUAUUUGGACAUGCGAGAGCAUUAGAGAGGCUGUGACGGAGGAGGAGCAUCUCUCUACUUGCCCGGUACCACAGGUAAAGCCAGAGCGAAGAGGGAUGACGCCAGUGGAAACCAAACACUUAUCAGAUGGACAGUGAGCACAUUGCGACUCCACGGCCAUGCUCACAAAGACGACUUGGAGACACGGUGAAGAAGCGUUUUAAACGAAGAAAGGGAUACUCCGUCCGGUUUCCGCUUCCGCGGGUACCGUCGAUGCCGCACGAAAUCACCAGCCUUUCGUCCUUCGAAACACAGAUCCGCUGGACCGGCCCUGAAACACUCCCACAAGCCGGCGCAGAGACGCUGAGGCCGAACCUAUUUAAGACGUGUGUGUGAGAGCGCUCGAGUCAACUCUCAAGCAACAGGUGUUGUGGCCAGGCCACGAAACAAUUCCAGGAGGGAAGGAAGAGUAAGCGGUCGAGGCUGAAGAUCAAUUUGCUUUUAGCUCCACGCGUGCAGUGCCUGCAGCUGUGCAGAAAGCAGCUUCAAAUGGACGCGUCUCUCGCAGCGAUUCCUGGCAUCUGCGUGACUGCACAACCGAUCGGGUUCCCAAUAAAAUCUGUUCAACUCACGUCCACACCGGGGCAGCGUAAACGUGGGCAGACAACUGAAACGACAGGGAGAAUCUCGCGUAAGGAGGAGCAUAAUUUUUUAUCUGCUGUGCCGGAGAAGGACAGGCAGAUGAAGCCUAGCAUACAACGUCCGACAUUAGGGCGAAUCUGCGCGUACCAGCAUGGCAUUGAUACCGAAGAUAUUCUCCUGUAAGUGGGAACGCAUAGCUUCGGAGCUGUCCUGGUGCUCCAGGAUCCGCUGUUCCAGCGAACAGCGCUCUGGUUGUUCUUGGCAAGGCGAGAGAAGACAGCGUGCUCCCGGCAUCGUAGGUGUUGACCAGUUGCGAAUUUGAAACCACCUUCAAAGAGUUGUCCGAACCGACAACAAAGAGGGUAUUGACGGCCUCCUCGUCGCCCCGGCGGACGACAGCGCUGCUGAAGUUUAUCCCUUUGUAGACCCAGUCAGAGAGACGGAGGCCCUCCUGAGAAGGAGGAUGAGCAACAAGUCAGAAAGGAUAAACCGCAGAAACAGGAUGAGGAAAAUGCGGCGCAGCUUUCAACACCUGUAUGCGUUUCUGCCAGCAACUCGCUAGUUUUCUGUCACUUCAAUGGUUUGUUGAGUAUCCAGAGAAGACGAAUGCUGCUUUUUCGACAUGCCUCCGAAACGGUCCCUCGUUGUGGACAACGAU